CUACGGGUUGCUGCAGUGGGGGAUAUUGCACAAUGGGCGAAAGCCUGAUGCAGCAACGCCGCGUGAAGGAUGACGGAUUUCGGUCUGUAAACUUCUAUCAGCAGGGAAGAAAAUGACGGUACCUGACUAAGAAGCCCCGGCUAACUACGUGCCAGCAGCCGCGGUAAUACGUAGGGGGCAAGCGUUAUCCGGAAUUACUGGGUGUAAAGGGUACGUAGGCGGCUGAUCAAGUCAGAUGUGAAAGCCCGGAGCUCAACUCCGGGAUUGCAGUUGAAACUGGUCGGCUAGAGUGCAGGAGAGGAAAGUGGAAUUCCUAGUGUAGCGGUGAAAUGCGUAGAUAUUAGGAAGAACACCAGUGGCGAAGGCGGCUUUCUGGACUGUAACUGACGCUGAGGUACGAAAGCGUGGGGAGCGAACAGGAUUAGAUACCCUUGUAGUC
rnacentral:rRNA from 1 species